GUUAGGAAUGUGAUUGCAUUCAGCUGAAACAUGACACUUAAUGUUGAAGCUUGGAUCAAUGGUCUUGGUAAAAACAGAUCAUGUAAUUGCACUCUCCCCUUGACUACUAAAAUUGUCUGGCAUUAGAUAGAUUAAAAUAAUACAGUGAGGCAUAUCAAGAGACAUUGCCACUUGUGAAGGGUUAACAUGUGUAUAUGAUAUUUUAUUUAUUUAUUUUAUUUACCCCAAAACAGGAAGGGCGCACCCACAGAGCCGAAGCUCCAAUAACAGGUUCCCCGCUAUUUUUAUGAUGUAAAGAUGUAUAAUGUAUCAUGAUAAUAAUGUCAUCUUUUAUUUUGCAGAAAUUAUAUGUUUAAUAUACACAAGAGAUGGCACUGAGGCAUCAACAUGCAAUACCAUGCAUAACAACAUAAAUAAUUAUAUGAUUAUGAUAACUUUAUUGAAGUGUAA